rnacentral:rRNA from 1 species
CCUACGGGAGGCUGCAGUGGGGAAUAUUGCACAAUGGGCGCAAGCCUGAUGCAGCCAUGCCGCGUGUGUGAAGAAGGCCUUCGGGUUGUAAAGCACUUUCAGCGGGGAGGAAGGCGUUAAGGUUAAUAACCUUGGCGAUUGACGUUACCCGCAGAAGAAGCACCGGCUAACUCCGUGCCAGCAGCCGCGGUAAUACGGAGGGUGCAAGCGUUAAUCGGAAUUACUGGGCGUAAAGCGCACGCAGGCGGUCUGUCAAGUCGGAUGUGAAAUCCCCGGGCUUAACCUGGGAACUGCAUUCGAAACUGGCAGGCUAGAGUCUUGUAGAGGGGGGUAGAAUUCCAGGUGUAGCGGUGAAAUGCGUAGAGAUCUGGAGGAAUACCGGUGGCGAAGGCGGCCCCCUGGACAAAGACUGACGCUCAGGUGCGAAAGCGUGGGGAGCAAACAGGAUUAGAUACCCGAGUAGUC